UGCCCAUUGGCCCAGUGGUUAAGGCGUCUGACUGUUACUUCCUUCAAAGAGGUUAAGAGAAAUCAGAAGAUCCCUGGUUCGACCCCAGGAUGGGCAG
rnacentral:tRNA from 1 species